GCCUUUUAUUGUCCCCAGCACAAGGUGCAUCUGUAUAAUGAUCAUGCUGUUUAAUCAGCUUCUUGAUAUGUCACACCUUUAGGUGGAUAAAUGCUCACUAACAGGAAUGUAAACAAAUUUAAAUAAGCUUUUGUGAGAAUGGAAAAUGUCUGAGAUUUUUUAUUUCAGCUCAUGAAACAUGGGACCAACACUUUACACAUUGCAUUUAUAUUUUUUGGUCAGUAUACAUAAAAGUAUUUGAGAAAAGUACAUGUGACCCUGCUCCAGUCCAUAUCAGAGGAGGCUGGUAAGGGUAAACAUAGGAGGACGGGCUCAUCAUAAUUCCUGGAUUGGUCUCUGUGUUUGAGGAUUUUCCAUUUAUUCCAUUCCAGCUAUUACAAUUAGCCCGUCCUUAGAUAUUUCCACCCACCAGCCACCAGAUAUAGACCUACUUUCUAUAAAGAGUGGUGAGGUCUUUGAUGCUCAUGGUGUAGUCUCCUGUAUGGCUAGCACUCACAACCUUUAUCUUCAGGGUUUAGGUCAGGCCAUCCUUGGACACUGGCAUGUCAAACUUUUCACCCCUCUUCACCUCCUUGCCCUUCACCUGCUACCACACAAAGAGAACAAGGUGUCUCUAAUGUUCCUGAGCGGUGUCUGAUGACAAAAGAGGUGAUCUUCAUUCAGUCGGGCAGAAGCACCUUCUUGUGGAUAUGUGAGUAUAGUGUGUCGGUGUGUGUGUGUGUGCAUGUGUGGGUGUGUGAAUGCUGAUUAAUACACCUCCCUCCAGCUCAGUCGGAAUUGGCUUAGUAUUUCCUGGAGCAAGCUCCAAAGAAGAUUGAAAUACACCUCCUCUCAUUCUGUGCUUUCUUCACAUCCACCUCUUCUCUCCCUCCUUUAUCUUCCCUGCACCAGUGAACAGAAUAG
rnacentral:lncRNA from 13 species